rnacentral:rRNA from 1 species
AUUGAACGCUGGCGGCAUGCCUUACACAUGCAAGUCGAACGGUAACAGGUCUUCGGAUGCUGACGAGUGGCGAACGGGUGAGUAAUACAUCGGAACGUGCCCGAGAGUGGGGGAUAACGAGGCGAAAGCUUUGCUAAUACCGCAUACGAUCUCAGGAUGAAAGCAGGGGACCGCAAGGCCUUGCGCUCACUGAGCGUCCGAUGGCAGAUUAGGUAGUUGGUGGGAUAAAAGCUUACCAAGCCGACGAUCUGUAGCUGUUCUGAGAGGACGACCAGCCACACUGGGACUGAGACACGGCCCAGACUCCUACGGGAGGCAGCAGUGGGGAAUUUUGGACAAUGGGCGCAAGCCUGAUCCAGCCAUGCCGCGUGCAGGAUGAAGGCCUUCGGGUUGUAAACUGCUUUUGUACGGAACGAAAAGACUCUGGUUAAUACCUGGGGUCCAUGACGGUACCGUAAGAAUAAGCACCGGCUAACUACGUGCCAGCAGCCGCGGUAAAAC